AUUGUAUCUUCUAGGAUGGUAAAAUGUAUAAGGCUUUAACUGAGAACGUGCGUCUCCCUAACUCGGUCAACGGAAUGAACGUUUGCAGAAUGCUUAAACUAGCCUUUCAAAGGAAAUUGCUGUUUACCAUUAACAGUGAUGGCGCCAUUGUAUAUAACGGCAUAGAUCCUCGGAGCUCACCCUACGUAAUGACAGAAAUCGAUUGUACCAAAGUAACCACACAGUUGAAAGAUAAGGGCAUCACGAUGGCUGACAUUGACACCAACGAUACCUUUUGGGGAACAGUGACUGUGGACUAAUUAGAUAAAACAACGUGUUGAAUGUUUGUUGAAAAAGCCUGAACAAAAUUUCAAAAAGCAACCACGAAUAUACUUUUAUCAGAUAAAAGAACAAUCACAAAAUGGGUAAAUAUUGAACUAAACAAUUCGAGGGAACAUACAAAGUAAACCAAUCAUUUAAAAGAAAGUGGGAAACCUUCGCUGAAAUUGACUUGUAAUGACUUAUUAUAGAGAAGUAUGAGAUGAGACUAAGCAUGAA